UUAAACAUAAAUUGAAAAGUAAAAUUAUGAGUGGUGAAGCAUUAAGUUUUGGAUUCCUGCUGUCAACUUCUUACUUUAGAACUGAAGCAGACCCACUGAUAUGUAGUGGUCUUAGAGUAAGGAACUUCGAGAUUCGAUUUUGAUUCUGUCUCGAAUGAGAUAAUACAUAUUCUAUAUAAUUUGAUGAAAUUUCAAAAUUGUUUUUUUUUUUUUGGUCUUGGAGAGUCGUAGGAAGAAAGGGAUGAAUCGACCGUAACUGUUAAUUGAGAUACUACAAGUUACAAUUGUGAGUAAAAAUGUGGUUGCCUACUUUGAGCUCAGGCUCAAUUGAGGGAGUGAAGAGAAGAGGGGAGAUGCCGUUACACAGGUUCAUCUCAAUGUCUAUGAUAUAACGCAUGUGAACAACUACCUCUGUUGGUCUGGCAUAAUUCUAUUCUGGAAUAUACAGAUCUGGUGAUGCCCAUUACUGUUUCAUUAGAUUCUGAAUUUUGGUAUGUUUGAGUCAGAGAAGGAAGCCAAGAAAGAAGUUUUCACGAAGUAUCGAGUCCAGUGGAGUGGAGUUCUUGAUACUCUCACCAAAGGUGUAGUUUCUUUUUCUGUAUUCCACCAUUACUUAACCUUUUGCGACAGUUAUGUUUUUUUAAACACGAUCUGUUCUGAAUAAUAACUUGAUUUAUGCCAACACAGUGGUGGUCUUCAAUGUAGUUAUUGUUGCUUUGUA